rnacentral:rRNA from 1 species
UACGGAGGAUCCAAGCGUUAUCCGGAAUCAUUGGGUUUAAAGGGUCCGUAGGCGGUUUAAUAAGUCAGUGGUGAAAGCCCAUCGCUCAACGGUGGAACGGCCAUUGAUACUGUUAAACUUGAAUUAUUAGGAAGUAACUAGAAUAUGUAGUGUAGCGGUGAAAUGCUUAGAGAUUACAUGGAAUACCAAUUGCGAAGGCAGGUUACUACUAAUGGAUUGACGCUGAUGGACGAAAGCGUGGGUAGCG